CAAGCUCAUGUGUUCUUUCUUUAGUAUGUGGACCCUCUGCUAUAUAUAAUCACAUAAAUGUAGAUUCUCUCUAACCAAUACAUACUAUCUCCCAGAUUUCCUCAAUCCCAUAUCCAAUCUUUUUCCCUUCUCUGGUUGGAAUUUCCCGUUUCCAAGGGCAUCAUGAAUUUCUAGUGUUCGAUAGGACCAGCACAAAAUGGAUGGAAGGGACGCAUUCUCACUUCUUGAAAAUGGAAAACAAGUGGAUAAUAGAGUGAUGCAGAGCUUCCAGAGGAGCUUUGUGCAAGUGCAAAGUCUCUUGGACCAGAACAGGUUGCUCAUCAAUGAGAUCAACCAAAACCAUGAGUCAAAGAUCCCCGAAAACCUCGGCCGUAAUGUUGGAUUGAUCAGGGAGCUCAACAACAACAUCCGCCGCGUGGUCGACGUUUACUCUGAACUCUCCCUCUCCUUCUCCAGUCCAAUGGAGGUUUCCCCUGAAGGCAAGCUUGGCCCCAAGAGACUUAGGCCUGGUUAACAAUCAGCAAGCUGUUUAAUCAUCAUGUGAUGCGGAAAUCCUCUAAUUAUUGUUAUUGUUUCUUCGAAGUGAACAAGUUUACAUCUUGCUCAUGUGAUGUGAAUCAGUGUCCUACUAUUACUGAAGGGGGAAAAAACAACUUUGGCUAUUGUUUUUUUCCUUUUGCUUUUUUUA